rnacentral:rRNA from 1 species
CCUACGGGCGGCAGCAGUGGGGAAUAUUGCACAAUGGGCGCAAGCCUGAUGCAGCCAUGCCGCGUGUGUGAAGAAGGCCUUCGGGUUGUAAAGCACUUUCAGCGGGGAGGAAGGCGGUGAGGUUAAUAACCUCAUCGAUUGACGUUACCCGCAGAAGAAGCACCGGCUAACUCCGUGCCAGCAGCCGCGGUGAAUACGGAGGGUGCAAGCGUUAAUCGGAAUUACUGGGCGUAAAGCGCACGCAGGCGGUCUGUCAAGUCGGAUGUGAAAUCCCCGGGCUCAACCUGGGAACUGCAUUCGAAACUGGCAGGCUAGAGGCUUGUAGAGGGGGGUAGAAUUCCAGGUGUAGCGGUGAAAUGCGUAGAGAUCUGGAGGAAUACCGGUGGCGAAGGCGGCCCCCUGGACAAAGACUGACGCUCAGGUGCGAAAGCGUGGGGAGCAAACAGGAUUAGAUACCCGAGUAGUC